UUGUGCCUAAAACUACUUCAUCAAACCUUGUGGUUUCUGUUAAAAUAAAUUACCAUUUUAUAUGCUCAUCCGUGCUUCAUUUUAAGCUAAUUUUUAUGUAAAAUGCCAAUUUUAGGUUAAGGUUUGACAUUUUCCUUGUCAUUAGUUUCUAGAAAAUUGAUUAUGGUAUGGGGAGAAGAGCAUCUUUAUUCUCUUAUUUUUAAUUUUCAUUUCCUUUAUAUAUUUGUCAAGUGCAGAGGGACUUAAACCUUGCAUCUGUCAGUGUUUUUUUUUCUUUUUAGCUACAGUAUUCACUUUUCUUUCCUUCUAUAAGACAAGCUUAGCAAACAGCCCGUGGUGUUAUCCUCUAAUUCUAUGAGACUCUGUUAGUUUACUUUUUCAUUUACUUUCCUUUUAUAUUUAUAUUGGACAGUCUCUACAGAUGACCUUCACUUACUCUUUCCUCUAGGGAGUCUAGGUAAAAGCUUCUCUUUCAUUAUAUUUGGGGUCUAACAUUUUUUUUCUUGAUUCCUACUUACAUCUCCAUCCCCUGACUUUUCAUUCUCCUUUGUUCUUUCUACUACCUCUAUAUCCUACCCCACCCCACCACAUUCCACCUCACCACACCCACCCUACCAUAUCCCCCACACCCUGAAGUGUCUUUAGAAACAUUAACUGCAUGUAGCUUUCUUCUAUUAUGAUAAAGCCUCCUUCUUGAUGAACCUAAAAAUCUUCUUAAAGGUAUUAUUGGGAGCUGUUCCUCUUGUUGGUGAGGACAUAGUAGAUUUCCUGUUCUUUAAUCACAGACUUGUUUAUAAGCAGAGUAAAUGUGGUCCUCUACAAAUGAGAACAUUUAAAUAUUGUGUUACGUUUUCAUACUUUUAAACAAACUUACUGAGGUCCACAAAAGCUUGUGGUGUACUGUGUACUGUGACUUGUCUUGGGUGGGAGUAAGGCAAGCAUUAUGCUUUUUCUUCUUCACAGUUUCCUUGUCUCUCAACUCUCCUUGAGCUAAGCAUUUUUGUUUUGAUUCUAUAUUUGUGUUUAUAGAUCACCUGCACUUACUCCUCCCUCUAGUGAGUCAGUUGAUGACCCCAACUGGACUCAGUGGAACCACGCUCCUUCAAGCAGUCUGUCAGUGACAGAGAGGCCACUAUGGAGAGCAGGACAAUGUACACAGGACAAAUGAGAAUGAGAACAAUGAAACAAUCACAAAACAUAAAACCCAAAAUAUCCCCAGAGAGCAUGGUAUGAUUUAGCUUGACAUUUGUAUGCUUCUUCCUUUUAUUUCUCUUUCAUGAGAAUAUUUCAUACCUCAAAUAUUCUCUUCAAGGUAUUUGAUAUAGUGGACACUUUCUCCUUCUAACUCCCUCAAAUGUUCUCUGCAAGGUGUUUAAUAAAUUGAACUUUCUGAUUGUUGGGGUUCAGGAAUCACCUCACAAACCACACAAACACUGAUCUCAGUUAGAUAUGGAUUGUUCAUUGAAUGCAUACCCCCAAACUGACCAAUAAAGGACACAACUCAGACUUGGGAACCAGAAGCUGUGAUGGUCACUUGCUCUUAGGUCAGGCUUCUUAUAGGAAAACCAAGUGCAAAUGACAAUAAAGCAGUAUCACAUUUUGGCUAAGUAGACAACGUAGAGUCAACUGACCUUUAAGAUGAUUGGUCCUAAGUGAGGUAAGUGAGAAGAUGAUUAUGGGUUUUCCAGAAUAUUGGGAUAACUGAGCAUAAGUAAUGCAACUAUUGUGUUAUGAUCCACUGGGAGAAUUUUUCCAUGUCUUCAAUGAAUAAUUACUUCCAAGAAGUAAAGUCUGAAAGCCUGAACUUAACUUCACCUCAUUGUGGUUGUAAAAAUAUAUAAAUAAAUAAAAAGUAAUGGUGUCUUUUACCCCGCUAGGUCUGCACUGCGGUGUCCCAAGAUAUCUGCUAGAUAUCUUGGUGGAAACACAUCCCAGCUGCACUUUCCUACACUCAAACCCCACAUAAAAGAACACACAACACAAUAAUCUUAGAUCCAAUUGGUAAGAUAUAUUUGCCCACUUAAACAUACAAAGCCCAGUACCGUCCAUCCCUUGAGAACAUUAAUAACAACCUGUAAAUACACAGAGCAGAAUCUUAACAUCACCUGCCAUGGCUUCUCCCCUCUCUCCGUCUCCUCUUCUCCCUCCUAGUCUCCUCCUCUUCCUUCAAACUUCUCUCCCGCCCAUCCUUCCUUCUCCUCCAAUGACAGGCCUCCUUCUAUCCUGCACCUGCCUCACCUGUGACAUCAUCCUACACCUCAUGAGCAAAAUGGAGACCAAAUGUAAAAUGACUACAGUCAUGUUAAAACCAACAGGCCAUAACACUGAUAGGCUUUGUGCUCAUUAAAACUUGGAAAAAUCUGAAAUAGUCAUGUAUAACUUUUAUUUCAAGAACAGUAAUAAAAAUCAUAGGUAAGUUAGGCUUUUAUAUCUCCAACAAAGACAUUGUUGAGAUUUACAAAGAUCUAGAGUCAAUCAAACUUAUAUAGUUAACUAGGAGGUGAAUUCAUGCUCCUAAUCACACAGAUAAAUAAACUGGGGGAGGAUGUAUCUUUGUUCAUGUAUAAAAUACAUUUUUUCUAGAUGUAUCAUCUCUUUGUUUCUUUAUUUUGAGAGACUAAGGAAAUAAUUUUUUGAUUUUAUGAUAUAAAGGAAUAGUUAUCCUUCAAUGCUCUAUAAAUUUUUUCUACUGUCCUGAAGUAAAGAGCUAGCUCGGCAUGCUACUGUCACCCUUCCGCUACCAGGGUUGCUGGGACUGUGGAGUGUUAGAGAGUAACUGACCUUCACAAUCAACUUACAUUUACUUCAACAUUAUAGUUCCUUCAGCAAACAUAUUGUCCUAUACCACAUCAACAUUCCAUUUGCCAGAUAGUAACAUAAGGUCAGCAGAGAACUAUAAGAGGCCUGGUAUAGAAUAUAUAGAAUACUUUUGAUCUCAUCAGGAAAUUGCUGAAGACCUACAAUCAAUGGAUUUCUUAUUUAUAAUUAAACACAUUCCUAUUUCAGAUCUCAAGACUUCUGUUUCUGUAAUAUAAAUGGCAGGUGGAUAUUUUAUCAGUACCUAAAAGAAAACAUUUUUGGAAGAUCAAGGGCCCAGAGUCAAAAUGAUAUGAUUUCAAGUUAGAUUUUAUAAUUAAAUUGUUAGAUCUAUGACCUGUCAAUUUACUGUACUUUUCUGAACUCUAACUUUAUAAUUCAUUAAAUAAACAUCAAGCAUAAAAUUACAAUAAGAGUUAAAUACAAUAAAUUUAUAAAAACAACAAAAGCUAUCAUUUUUCAUUUGAAAUAAGAUUGAGCAUCUGUAAAUCCAGAGAAAGCCCUCAGCUAUUUGAUAUUCUUAGCAUGAUAUAUGAACAUUUGGCAUAUAUAUGGUACACUCAUCCUUUAAUUGUACCAUAUGCUUUUUGGAUACAGGCAUGGACUUUGUAUAUACACAUGUUGAAACUUCCUGAUAUAGUAAGCCUAUUAUUUAUCUGCCUUGAAAGUCUUUCCAAACCCACAUAUCAGUAAGGACACCCACUCUUGACUAAAAUGAUUCAUAUAAGUAUUGAAUGAAGUCAACGAGAAAGUGUGUUCUACACUAUCUCUUAACUAAGUUCUAUAACUUCAGAUCAAAUAUGACUCUAAUAUUUUUUAUUUUCAUCUAUUCAAAUCCAACUUACUUCUAAGGAGGGUAUAAUCUUUAUAGAAAAACAUAAUUCUCUUUUUCAAUGACAGGUAAGUGUUGCAUACCAAAUUUCAUCCUAGGUUUUAGUUCCUGUACAAAAAAAGGACCCUCAAAUAUGUCCAUGUUCUUGUCUUUGCUAAACUAAAACUAGUUUCUGAGACAGUCGAGAUGGAGAUGAAGGAUCUUGAUAUCUUGAUAUAAGAUUUCCUGGGCAUCUCAGUGAGUGAAGAGAGAGAGAGAGAGAGAGAGAGAGAGAGAGAGAGAGAGAGAGAGAGAGAGAGAGAGAAAUUAAGAGAGUAUCAGGAACAUGGGUAUGAAAUUUCUUUGGAUUUUUCUUCUUCCAUGGACCUCUGAUAUCUAGAAUUUUAAGGUAACAAAUCUGUUUUAUUUGAAGACUGUAUAACAUGUUACAGUAACAACAGCAACAACAACAAAGAUGCCUGUGUUGUAAAAGCUUCCUUCUACCAUGAUCUGAUGUUGUCUGACAGAGUUCUCCAUAGCCAUUGGUAGUGAUAGCUGCUGACAGAAAACCUGGAUAUCUACCAGUUCUUCGCUCAAGUCCAAGUCGAUCAAAGAUCUCCACAUAAAACCAGAUACAUUCGAACUAAUAGAACAGAAAGUGGGGAAGAGCCUCAAACACAUGGCCAUAGGGAAAAUUUUCCUCAACAGAAUACCAAUGGCUUAUGCUCUAAGACCAAGAAUCAACAAAUGGGACCUCAUAAAACUGCAAAGCUUCUGUAACACAAAGGACACUGUCAAUAGGACAAAAUGGCAACCAACAGAUUGAGAAAAGAUCUUUACCAAUCCUACAUUUGAUAGAAGGCUAAUAUCUAAUAUAUAUAAAGAACUCAAGAAGUUAGACUCCAGAGAACCAAAUAAUCCUAUUAAAAAUGGGGUACAAAGAAUUCUCAGCUAAGAAAUAUCAAAUGGCUGAGAAGCAGUUAAAUGUUCAUCCUUAGUCAUCAGGGAAAUGCAAGUAAAAACAACCCUGAGAUUCCACCUCACACCAGUCAGAAUGGCUAAGAUAAAAAAACUCAGGUGAUAAUAAAUGCUGGUGAGGAUGUAGAGAAAUAGGAACACUUUUCCAUUGUUGGUGGGAUUGUAAGCUUGUACAACCACUGUGGAAGUCAGUAUUAUGGUUCCUCAGAAAAUUGGACAUAGUACUACCUAAGGACCCAACUAUAUCACUCCUGGACAUGUACUCAAAAGAUGCUCCAACAUAUAACAAAGACAUAUGUUCUACUAUGUUAAUAGUAGCCUUAUUUAUAAUAGCCAGAAGCUGGAAAGAACCCAGAUGCCCUUCAACAGGGGAAUGGAUACAGAAAAUGUGGUACAUCUACACAAUGGAGUACUACUCAGCUAUCAAAAACAAUGAUUUCAUGAAAUUCAUAGGCAAAUGGAUGGAACUAGAAAACAUCAUCCUGAGUAAUGUAACCCAGUCACAAAAGAACACACAUGGUAUGCAUCUACUGAUAAGUGGAAGCCCAAAAGCUUGGAAUACUCAAGAAACAAUUCACUGAUGAUAUGAAGCUCCACAAGAAGGAAGGCCAAAAUGUAGAAGCUUCAGACAUUCUUAGAAGGGGAAACAAAAAUACAAGAGGAAAUAUGGAGACAAAGUGUGGAACAGAGGCAGAAAGGCCAUCCAGAAAUUGCCCCACAUGUGGUUGCAUCCCAUAUUCAGCCACAAUACCCAGACAAUAUUGCUGAUGCCAAGAAGUGACAGGAGCCUGAUAUGCGUGUCUCCUGGGAGGCUCUGCCAGAGCCUUACUGUAAGAGAUGAGGAUGCUUUCAGCUGGCUGAGCAUGGGGAGCCCAAUGGAGGAGUAAGAGAAAGGACUGAAGGAGAUGAAAGGAUUUGCAUUCCCAUUGGAAGAACAAUAUUAACCAACCAGAUACCCCAGCACUCCCAGAGACUAAACCACCAACCAACAAGUCCACAUGGAGGGACCCAGGACUCCAGACACAUAUGUAGCAGAGGAUGGCAUUGUUUGGCAUCAUUAGGAAGAGAAGCCCUUGGUCUUGUGAAGGCUCAUCUCUCCAGUGUUCCAAAGAAAACAUGGAAUCUGCAUCCCUGUGAGUAUUGGAGGAAGCUCCGCAGGUCAUGUAUCUCACAGUUGUGAGGUGUCCACUGAGGGAUGGGAAAUGUUCAGCACUAUGAGUCAUUGUUCAAGGAUACUCAGCGCAUGUCUUGAUGGAGAAAUCCAAGAGAUGCCUGCAAUACAAAAAUAUUUUGAAGUUCAUUUCAUAACUAUUAUCUAAUUUGUUCUUCCAAACUCUGGUAUGAGGUGCUUUUUAAUAUCUGUAAAAAAAAAAGUCUGAUUGAUUGGAAAUUUGCAUGCAUUGCCCAACAUAAUGUAACUGCCUAGGGCUCAAGCCUUCAAAGAAAAGUCAUGCCCUAUUAAAACUGCAAACAAAACUGGAGAUAGAGUUUACAAUUACACAGAGAUAAACAUUAAGCACUGGAAAGAUGCUAGAGGUGUUUGUGGAAAGGUAGUCAAUGAAUAAACUUCACAACAAAUAGAUCGUUUAGUUUACCAGAAUUCCUAUAAGUCAUUUACUCAGUAAACAUUAAAUAAUAAUUAUUUUAGGCACUGAAUAUACACGCGCGCGCCCACACACACACACACACACACACACACACACACACACACACACACACACACACUUGGAUCAAAAUGUAAACAUACAGAACAGAAAAUAUGUGAUGGUGCUGUGAUGGCAGUGAACAUGAUACCUAGAAUUUGAAUUCAAUACUAGCUAAUUUUUCCCUUUGGAUUCUCACUAUUCCUUAAUUUUACUACAUGGGAUGGAAAACGGCAGGAUAAGGCAAAUGUAUUGUUUUUUAUGGAUUUAUUUUUACUUAUAAUGUAGUCAAAAAUUUGGUUUUACACUUUUGCAGUUUAUUAGAAAAUUUUGUAAAAAUAUCUUGGAAAGAAUUUUAAAUUUCAUAUGGAAUCCAAAAAUAAAUACCUAUAGAUAUUAUGAUAAGCCCUAUCCUAGUUGGCUUUAACUGUUAACUCAACCUAAUAUGAGCUCAUUUAAGAAAAUAGUCUUGUUAUUUUAAAAAUAAAACCAUGUGAAUGUUAUUUUUUGCACUUUUAAGUUCAAAGAAUAACAACAAAAUCCCCAACAAUACAAAAUAUCCAGUCCUGCUAUUCUUUGUGGGUGAGUAAAUUUUCCUGCAUGAAGACACAAAGGACAAAAGGGAGGAAAAUAAACCCUAGAGAUGAGUAGAAUGACAGGUGGCUCAGUAAUUAUCAAGGAGAAUCAUGCUGGAGAAUACACAUGUAUACUGUAUAGAUGCCACAGGCUUUGCAGGGGGACUCUGAUCCAUUCUUUCCAUAAAAAAAUGUGCAUCUUCAUGUUGGGUUAUACAGUAUAUAGAGGUUGAGCAGGUCUGACAAUCCCCAGGAAGAGCUCAGAGGUUUAUCUCAUGAAAGUCUUGAUAUAAAGUUACAUUUACUGUAAAAUUAUGUGUGUAACUGAAAACGCCUACUUCCCAGUGGUCCUCUACUGCUUCUGAGUCUCAUGGUCUCUUCAUCUCCAAUUCCUGUAUUUUGCAUUGAAAAGAUAACAUGAAUGAAAUAUAUGAUACUGACCAUUAUUUUCUGUUUCUACUUGGCAGUGGCUACCCGUAUCACCAUACACUCUUCCUAGCACUGGUGUGAGUGGAUAUUGUUCUGUUAUUUGAUUAAAUACAUAGUAAAGAACCAGGAGCAUUAAGAACCUGACAUACAAUACCAUUCUAUGAAAUAACCAAUCUAAUCACUACACAAAAUGAACCUCAGACUUAUAUCACAUUUACUUCUAGUGAAUGUGAAAAAUUCAAAAGGGAAAAAAAUUCAAAGCGGCAGGGGAUAUUUUAAAUAAGAUAAGAAAUCAUUCUAAACAAGCAAUCAAAGUUUUAGUAACUUUCCAAAAAGAAGUCUAUCCUAGUUUUUCUUUUCCAAAAGGAUAUCAUGGUGAAAGAAGAAAUUGGACCAAUUGGAGAACAUGGGGUUAGGGGUGAGGAUGCUGAGAACAGGUAUUACAAAGCUAUGUAGACAGAAAGUUGCCUGGAAUAUGCUUACUUCAGGGGACACUGUCAUCUGCCCUUCUAUACAGUUUUCUAAUGGAUGUUUUUGGCCAGGACUCAGAAAUGUCAGACAAUUUGACAAAAUGAGAGCCUUUGAGUCUCUGGAAUUGGAGUAAAUUUUCUCAAAGGUUACAUUAGAAAGAGUAGUAUGUGGUUAUCACAAAUGUCACAGCAGGCUUGCUAAUUUUCACCAAAGUUGCUGAAAACUGGUAACUUGCCAGCAGUUAGCUACUUAGGAGAAGAUGGGGAGAGAUGAGUGUCCUCUCUGUACAGUCUUUCCUAACCCAGGAGUAAACAUUUCUUUAGCUUCAACCUUCUGCAGUUUCCUCCUUUCACAUACUAAAUGACAAUUUUAUUGUACUGAUGAUCAAGGGACCACAAUUCAGAAGCAGUCAAGGUAUUCCUUGGUUGUUAUUAUAAGAAAUUAAUUCUUUCUUCUGGUGUCUAGAGUUCUAUGGAUUUUCCUGGCUUACACGUGCUUUUUUUUCUACGUGAAACUCUUGGAGGCAGUAAGCUCACAUUAUUAGGUGUGAAAGUAAGGUCUCCCAAUAACCUCGUUUCAAUAUCCUGUUCACUGGAACAUUUGGUUUCCAGGAGCCACCUUUCCUUAAAUCAUCCAUCUUUCUUUCUCAGAGAAUUGAAAUUGCUCUUCUUCCUUUGAAAGACAUGAAGCCUCAACUGUCUCCCAAAUCAUGGAUGACUAUUAUCAGAAUUCCUUCCAUGAAUUCUCACCACAGGUUUUUGUUCUUGCACUUGCAUGGUGAUGGAGAUUUUUUGAAACCAAAAACAAUGUAAAUGUUCUUGUUCUUCACUCAAUCUUACUUAACAGAUCCAAUAUUUUGUUUUCUUUUUUUUUUUUUUUUCACUACUGAAACAUUUCCCUGAGUCAUCAGGAAUAUUGCACAUUUAUAUUAACCAGACUACUUCUAAAGCUUCUUUCUGUAGCUUUAGCAAAAAAAAAGUUUCUCUUGAAGCAGUUUGCUGGGUUUCAGUUAAAGGACUGAAAAGUAGGGGUUUGGAACUUUUCCUCCACUGUCUUUUGUCAUAAUUAACUCCAGCUCUAGAUUUAACACAAAUCUACAGUAACUUGGCUAGAGGGAACCUCAACUGAGAAAUAGUUCCAAUCCAAUUCGUCCUUUUUGGACAUCUCCAUGGAGCAUUUUCUUGGGUAGUGAUGGAUAGGGGAGAUCCCAGCCUGCUGCGGGUGGUGCCAUUCACCCACUUUUCUCUCCAACCUUGAGCAAAUGGGAAAAGUUUGUAUAAGAAAGCUAAGUGAGGGGGUUGGGGAUGUAGCUCAGUGGUAGAGCUUUGCCUAGCAAGCACCAAGCACAAGGCCCUGGGUUCGGGCCCCAGCUCCGGAAAGAGAGAGAGAGAGAGAGAGAGAGAGAGAGAGAGAGAGAGAGAGAGAGAAAUAAAAAGAAAGCUAAGUGAGAUUUAACCACUCCCUCUUUCCCUGCCUACAGCACAGUUAAGUUUCCUGAACUAUAUGGGUCAGCACCCCUUCUCCCACUAAGCUUCCCUGCUUCCUCUGUGCUGAGCCAAGCUGAGCCAAGCAGCAUGGUUUAUCACAGGGGAUGUCCAUUCUCCUACUUCCUUUCCUACACCUUCAAUCAGACUCUUGAACCACACAGGUAGGCUCGUCUUCUUACACCCAUCUUACCUGCUCUUUGAGCCAUCUGGGCCAAGCAAAGUUGCCCUGAGCAGCCAAGGGAACCAUCCAGUUUCCUGCCAACUCUCCACUUGUUUUUAUUGGACCUGAGAAUCCUGAACCAUACAGAACUGCGGGACCAAAAACAUACAAGGAUACCCAUUAGAGGCCUGACACACAAGGAGCAUCAUUGAUCACUCCUUGUCCAAAUACUUACUACAACAAGAAUUAUUCAAUGACCCAAACCAUCCAGAUGGCUAAAGGCCCUCCAAAAAACACAAUCAACAAAAGCCAGGGCAAUGUGAUACUUCCAAAGCACAGCUAUGCCCUUACAAUAAGCCUUGGCUAUCCUCUAACAAUGGAAACACAAGGAAAUGGCCUUAAAUCCAAUCUUAUAAAGAUGCUAGAAGAAAUAAAUAAAUCCCUUGAAUAAAUACUAGAAAAUACUAUCAAAUGGAUAGAGGUAUUUAUAGGGGAAACAAAUCCCUUACAGACACAUAGGAAAAUAUAAUUAAAUAGGUGCAGAAAAUGAAUAAAACUCUGAAAAACAUGAAAGUGGAAAUAGAAGCCAGAAAUAUAAAACAAAAUGAGAACAUCCUGGAGAUGGAAAAAUCUAGGAAGAGAACAGGAGCAGAUGCAAGCGUCACCAACAGAGGACAGGAGAUGGAAGAAUCUCAGGUGGAGAAGAUACGAUACAGAACACCGAUACAUCAGUCAAAGAUGUCGUUAAACAUAAAAAAAUCCUCAUGCGAAACACCCAGGAAAUCUGGGAAAAGACAUAACCUAAGAAUAAUAGGAAUAGAAGAAGAUGAAGGGUAUCAGCUCAAAGGUCCAGAAAAUAUUCUCAACAAAAUCAUGGAAAAAAUUCCAACUUAAUGGAAGAGAUGCCUAUAAGCAUACAAGAAGCUUAUAGAACACUAUUUAGACUGGCCCGCAAGAGUAAAUCCUUCCUGGUUAAAUGUCUUGCAAUCUAUUAAAAAAAAAAAAGAACCACAGGUGUCAACUUAAACUACUAUACCCAACAAAAUUCUUAAUCACCAUAGAUGGAGAAAACUAGAUAUUUCAAGACAAAUAUAAACUCAAACAAUAUCCACAAAUGCAGCCAUAGAGAAAAUACUAGAAGGAAAACUCCAACCCUGGAAGGAUAAUUACAUUCAAGAAAAUACAGGAAAUAAGUAAUCACAUAUCAGCCUAAACAAGGAAUGUGCACGUGCAUGUGUAUGCAUGCAUGCAUGUGUAUACACACACACACACACACACACACACACACACACAACCACCACCACUACCAUGACCACCACCACCACCAUCACCACUAUUACAACCACCAAUAUCAAAAUGACAGGAAGUAAUGAUCACUGGUCAUUAAUACCUCUCAACAUUAAUGGACUCAAUUCAUAAAUAAAAAGGCAUAGCCUAAAUAAAUGGAUAUAAAAAUAGGAUCCAUCAUUCUUCUGCAUACAAGAAAUACACCUCAGCAAUAAGGGUAGAUAUUAUCUCAGAGUAAAGGGCUAGAAAUUAUUUCUAAGCAAAUGGACCCCCCCAAAAAAGACACAGUGGAUUAGCCAUUCUCCUAUCUAAUAAAAUAAACUUUCAAUCUAAAUUAAUCAAAAGAGACAGGGAAGGACACUUCAUACUCAUCAAACUAAAAAUCUAGAUAUCUCAAUUUUGAACAUUAUGAUCCAAACACAAGAGCACCCACAUUUGUCAAAGAAACAUUGCUACUGCUUAAAUUGCACAUUGAACCCCAUACAUUAAUACUCAGAGUCUUCAACACACAAUUCUCACCAAUUGGCAGGACAUUCAGACAAAAACUAAACAGAGAGUAAAUGAAGCUAACAGAUUUUAUGAAUCAAAUGGACUUGAUGGACAUCUACAGAAUAUUUUACCCAAACACAAAAGAAUAUACCUUCAUCUCAGCACCCCAUGGAUCCUUCUCCAAGGUUGACCUUAUACCCAGUCACAAAGCAAGCCUCAACAGACACAAGAAAAUUGAAAUAAUGCCUUAAAUCUUAUCAGACAGCCAUGGAUCACAGCUGGACUUCAGCAAUAACAGAAACACUGGAAAACCUACAAAAUCAUGGAAAUUGAACAACUCGCUACUUAAUGAUCUCUGUGUCACUGCAAAAAUAAAGAAAUUAAAGAGUUUCUAGAAUUGAAUGAAAAGAUACAACACACCUAAAUCUAUGGGAUAUAAGGAAAGCAGUGCUAAGAGGAACAUUCAGAGCACUAAGAGCCUCCAUAAAGAAAUUAGAAGGCUCUUAUAUUAGCAAUUUAAAAAGUACACUUGAUCACUCCUUGGGCUUUUGGCUAAGAUCAAGUGUAAAGGUACACUUGAAAGCUUUAGAAAAAAUGAAGCAAUCAUACCAAAGAGGUGUAGAUGACAGAAAAUAAUCAAAAUUAGGGCUGGAAUCAAUCAGUUAGAAACAAAGAAAAUAAUACAAAGAAUCAAUGAAAGCAGGACCUGGUUCUUUGAACAGAUUAACAAGAUACACAUUCCUUAGCCAAACUAACCAAAAGACUAAAAUCAAAUAAUAUCAAAAUUGACAAAAUCAGUAAUGAAAAGGGAGACAUAACAACUGAUACUGAGGAAAGUCAAUAAAUCAUUAAGUCUGUCUUAGUCAGGGUCUUACUGCUGUGAACAGACACCAUGACCAAUAUAAGUUUUAAAAUGGACAACAUUUAAUUGGGGCUGGCUUACAGAUUCAGAGGUUCAGUCCAUUAUCAUCAACAUGGGAGCAUGGCAGCAUGGCAGCAUCCAGGCCGGCAUGGUGUAGGAGGAGCAAAGUUCUACAUCCUCACCCAAAGGAAGUCAGGAACCGACUCAGCAUCCCCAGGCAGCUAGAAGUGUCUCCAAGCCCAGCCCCACAGUGAAACACUUCCUCCCACAAGGUCACACCUUCUAAUAAUGCCUACUCCCUCUUGCCUCCCCUCCCUGGCAUUCCCUUACACUGGGACAUUGAGCCUUCAUAGGACCAUGGGCCUCUCCUCCCAUUGAUGGCCAACAUGGCCAUCCGCCUACUACAUAUGCAGCUGGAGCCAUUAGGUCACUCCAUGUGUACUCUUGGGAUGGUGGUUUCGUCCCUGGGAACUCUGGAGUGUCUGGUUGCUUGCUAUUGGUUGUUCUUCUUAUGGGGUUGCAAACACCCUCAGCUAACUCAGUCCUUUCUCUAACUCCUCCACUGGGCACGCUGUUUUCAGUUCAAUGGUUGGCUGUGAGCAUCAGGUUCUGUAGUUUUCAGGUUCUGGCAGAGCCUCUCAGGAGACAUGCGUGUCAGGCUCCUGUCAGCAUGCACCUCUUGGCAUCCUCAAUAGUAUCUGGGUUUGGUGACUGCAUGUGGGAUGGAUUCUCAUGUGUGGCAGUCUCUGGAUGGUCUUUCCUUCAGUCUCUGCUCCACAUUUUGUCUCCAUAUUUCUUCUUGUGAGCAUUUUGUUCCCCGUUCUAAGAAGUACUGAGGCAUCCAUAUGUUGGUCUUUCUUCUUGAGCUUUAUGUGGUCUGUGAAUUGUAUUUUGAGUAUUCCAAACGUCUGGGCUAAUAUCUACUCAUCAGUCAGUGCAUAUCAUGUAUGUUCCUUUUGUGAUUGGGUUACCUCACUCAGGAUGAUAUUUUCUAUUUUCAUCCAUUUUCCUAAAAAUUUCAUGGCAUCAUUAUUUUUAAAAGCUGAGUAGUCGUCCAUUGUGUAGAUGUACCACUUUUUCUGUAACUAUUCCUCUGUUGAAGGGCAUCGGGGUUCUUUCCAGCUUCUGGCUAUUAGAAAUAAGGGUACAAUGAACAUAGUGGAGCAUGUGUUCUUGUUAUACAAUGGAGCAUUCCUUUAACAUUUCAGGUAUAUGCCCGGGAGUGUUACAGCUGGGUCCUCAGGUAGUACUAUAUCAAAUUUUCUGAGGAACUGCCAGACUGAUUUCCAGAGUGGUUGCACCAGUUUGCAAUCCCACAAACAAUGGAGGAGUGUUCCUCUUUCUCCACAUCCUCUCUAGCAUCUGCUGCAAUGCCUAAACAUAGUAAAAGCAAUAUACAGCAAACCAAUAGCCAACAUCAAACUAAAUGGAGAGAAACUUCAAGCAAUCCCAGGAAAAUCAGGGACAAGACAAGGCUGCCCACUCUCUCCCUACCUAUUCAAUAUAGUACUCAAAGUCCUAGUCAGAGCAAUUAGACAACAAAAGUAGGUCAAAGGGGUCCAAACUGGAAAGGAAGAUGUCAAAAUAUCAGUAUUUGCAGAUGAUAUGGUAGUAUACAUAAGUGACCCCAAAAGUCCUACCAGAGAAUUCCUACAGCUGAUAAACAAUUUCAGCAAAGUGACUGGAUAUAAAAUUACCUCAAACAAAUCAAUACCCUUCCUCUACUCAAAGGAUAAACAAGCUGAGAGAGAAAUUAGGGAAAUGAUACCAUUCACAAUGGUCACAAAUCAUAAAAUCUCAAAACAUUUUUAAAAGUAUGAUACAAGAUGAUUAAAUGCUGAUGCAGGAGCCUCUGUUUCAUGAUGAUUCAUGUUCUUCUGUCGUCUGGGAAGUCCAAGUACUAGAUAAAUAUUAUGUCUUAUUUUUAAAUACAAAAGUGGGAAAAUAUGAACAUUCUAGGUCAACAGUGAUAUACCUGGAAUUUCCUUUAUCUAAAAUAUUUUUUGAAUUCAACUUAGCAAUAAUUUUUAAGAAAAGAUUUAUUUGUUUAUUUAUUUUAUGUUUAUGAGUAUCCUCUCUGGAUAUAUACUUUCAUGCCAGAAGAGAAUAUCACAUUUCCUUAUAGACAGUUAUAAACCACCAUGUGGUUGCUGGGAAUUGAACCUUGGUCCCCUUGAACAGCUAGUGCUCUAAACUGCUGAGGAUCCCUCCAGUUAACAGUUACUUUUAUGAUUUCCAUCCCCAAUCAGAAGUGAGGGAAGUUAGCAUAGUAACUCAAACAGGGCAGGAGCCUAGAGCCAAGAGCUGACGCGGAGUCCAUGAAGGAGCAUUGCUGUAAAAGACUGGGUUUAGAGAAAAGAGACCAAGCAAAUAAGAACCAGAGAUGGAUUUAAGAGAAAGAAGGAGUUCCUGGUUGCUGCCGCUGCAGAGAGCCCCUGGGCAGCACCCCACGAGCGAACCUGAGCCUCGGGACCACAGGUAAGAUCAAAUUUUCUGCUGCAAGAAAGCUGCCUGGUGAGCUUGGGACACACGGAAGCAGAAUUUCUCUAGGACCGGGCACGUUCUGUGUUUACCGGAAGUCCCACACCCGCGGAUCCUGGCCCGCAGCAGCUCUCUGCUCCCAGACCCGGUGAGAGAGAGACCCAACCGCCUGGUCAGGUGGGCACUCCUGAGGCUGCAGAGCUGAAGAGACCACCAACACUGCUCACCCCUGCCCACAUCCCUGGCCCAAGAGGAAACUGUAUAAGGCCUCUGGGCUCCCGUGGGGGAGGGCCCAGGAGCUGCAGGACACCUGCCUGAGACACUGCCGGAACCUGAAAGAAACAGACCAGAUAAACAGUUCUCUGCACCCAAAUCCCGUGGGAGGGAGAGCUAAACCUUCAGAGAGGCAGACAAGCCUGGGAAACCAGAAGAGACUGCUCCCUGCACACACAUCUCGGACGCCAGAGGAAAAAGCCAAAGACCAUCUGGAACCCUGGUGCACUGAAGAUCCCGGAAGGGGCUGCACAGGUCUUCCUGGUUGCUGCCGCUGCAGAGAGCCCCUGGGCAGCACCCCACGAGCGAACUUGAGCCUCGGGACCACAGGUAAGACCAAAUUUUCUGCUGCAAGAAAGCUGCCUGGUGAACUCAAGACACAGGCCCACAAGAACAGCUGAAUACCUGUAGAGAGGAAAAACUACACGCCCAAAAGCAGAACACUCUGUCCCCAUAACUGACUAAAAGAGAGGAAAACAGGUCUACAGCACUCCUGACACACAGGCUUAUAGGACAGUCUAGCCACUGUCAGAAAUAGCAGAACAAAGUAACACUAGAGAUAAUCUGAUGGCGAGAGGCAAGCGCAGGAACCCAAGCAACAGAAACCAAGACUACAUGCCAUCAUCGGAGCCCAAUUCUCCCACCAAAACAAACAUGGAAUAUCCAAACACACCAGAAAAGCAAGAUCUAGUUUCAAAAUCAUAUUUGAUCAUGAUGCUGGAGUACUUCAAGAAAGACAUGAACACACUUAGGGAAACACAGGGAAACAUUAAUAAACAAGUAGAAGCCUACAGAGAGGAAUCGCAAAAAUCCCUGAAAGAAUUCCAGGAAAACACAAUCAAACAGUUGAAGGAAUUAAAAAUGGAAAUAGAAGCAAUCAAGAAAGAACACAUGGAAACAACCCUGGAUAUAGAAAACCAAAAGAAGAGACAAGGAGCUGUAGAUACAAGCUUCACCAACAGAAUACAAGAGAUGGAAGAGAGAAUCUCAGGAGCAGAAGAUUCCAUAGAAAUCAUUGACUCAACUGUCAAAGAUAAUGUAAAGCGGAAAAAGCUACUGGUCCAAAACAUACAGGAAAUCCAGGACUCA